rnacentral:rRNA from 1 species
AGCGUAGGCGGAUUUUUAAGUUAAGUGUGAAAGCCUGGGGCUUAACUCCAGAAUUGCACUUAAUACUGGAUUUCUAGAGUGUGGGAGAGGUAAGUGGAAUUCCUAGUGUAGCGGUAGAAUGCGUAGAGAUUAGGAGGAACAUCAGAGGCGAAGGCGGCUUACUGGACCAUAACUGACGCUGAGGCUCGAAAGCGUGGGGAGCAAACA